ACGCUGGCGGCGUGCUUAACACAUGCCAGUCGAACGGAAAGGCCCUGCUUUUGUGGGGUGCUCGAGUGGCGAACGGGUGAGUAACACGUGAGUAACCUGCCCUUGACUUUGGGAUAACUUCAGGAAACUGGGGCUAAUACCGGAUAGGAGCUCCUGCUGCAUGGUGGGGGUUGGAAAGUUUCGGCGGUUGGGGAUGGACUCGCGGCUUAUCAGCUUGUUGGUGGGGUAGUGGCUUACCAAGGCUUUGACGGGUAGCCGGCCUGAGAGGGUGACCGGCCACAUUGGGACUGAGAUACGGCCCAGACUCCUACGGGAGGCAGCAGUGGGGAAUAUUGCACAAUGGGCGGAAGCCUGAUGCAGCAACGCCGCGUGCGGGAUGACGGCCUUCGGGUUGUAAACCGCUUUCGCCUGUGACGAAGCGUGAGUGACGGUAAUGGGUAAAGAAGCACCGGCUAACUACGUG
rnacentral:rRNA from 1 species